rnacentral:misc_RNA from 1 species
GCCUACUGUUUAAUUUUGAGGGUUCGUUUUUACGAAUACUCAAAGUUAGCACUUUAAGCAACGUGAUUUAUCCGUUGGCGCUGUGCAUUAGCACUUUAAGCAACGUGAUUUAUCCGUUGGCGCUGUGCGUUAGCACUUUAAGCAACGGAAUUUAUUCGUUGGCGCUGUGCUUUAGCACUUUGAAAACUGCAUAUAUAUAUUUAGUGAUAUGACAUCUAAUUUGUAAUAUAUAAAGCUGAUAACUUUUUAAAAUUAUCGAAGUUGAUAGCUUCUAAUCUAUCAAACCUUUUUAACUGGUCAA